rnacentral:tRNA from 1 species
UGUGGCAAAGUAUGGUGUACGUAGAGUUUUGAUCUCUAAGGGGUGGGGAAGCACUGUCGCAA